rnacentral:rRNA from 1 species
GGCGGAGUUAUAGCACACCCUAAGCGUAGUAACUUACAUCGCUCCCGGGGAGUCUAUAGCGGCCUGCCGUUAAAAAAACCCCUAUAUUUCUAGUGGUUGACCUCGGAUUAGGUAGGAAUACCCGCUGAACUUAAGCAU